rnacentral:rRNA from 1 species
AUGCCGUGGAGGAGUUCUACAAGUCAUAUGCACAUCAUGUGGGUUUUGGAGUUCGUGUCAGACAACAGAAAAAGUUGGACAAUAAUGUGGUUCGUACAAAACGUUUCAUGUGAAAUAGGGAAGGAUUCAGGUCUGAGAAGAGCAAGGAGAUUAAAGAUCCAGCAAAGAAAUUCCGUAAGAAUACAACCACACGAUGUGGUUGUGAUGCACAUAUCUUCGUCAAGUUAUGUGGCGAUAACACCUACAAGAUACACUCAUGGAUUGAGCGCCACACUCAUGGCCUUGUAUCGCCUGAUAAAUGCCAUUUGA